GGUGGGGUGUCCGAGUGGUUGAAGGAGCCUGCCUCGAAAACAGGUUUGCGUGUGAGCGCAACGGGGGUUCGAAUCCCUUCCCCACCG
rnacentral:tRNA from 1 species